AUGUUCUCCACACAUGUGAUGCUCCGUUCUUUUGUCUCACCUGCCCCAGAGCCCAUGAUCCUUCCUGAGAUCCUGGUCAAGUCAUCAUCCGUCACACCGAGCUGGUGCAAUGUCACCCUGGAGUGCAAGUCCCCAGAAAAGAGAGAAGACCUGAAGGUAACCUGGGAGAGCAAGGGCCUUCCCAGUGAGCUGGCAUGGAGUGAGACACCAGAACUAGCCCCCAACACCUGGCAACUGACUAUGAACUUGUCUCUGAAUAAGCCCAAUGCCAUCCUCACCUGUGUGGUCAGCAACAAUGUGGACAAGAAAACUGCCUCUGUAGACUUUGUGCAAGUCUGUUCCCAUGGUUCACACAGACAGACGAUUGCUGACUCCCUUGGAGGCAUCCUGUGGACCAUCGUGGUUGUGCUAUUUUUCCUGGGAACUUGACUGUGCUUUUGGAAAAUGUAUAAGAGGGAAAGGAACAUGGAUACCAGAAGAGGGUAUCAGUGAGCAAUGUCUGAAAGAAGAGUUGCCUCUCAGCACUGUCUACUCUGCGAUCCAGAACACAGGCCAGAGCAUGAAGAAAAUUUAAAAAACAGGGUACUCUUGGGACACCUCCUCCACUCUGAUGCUGACAUCCUUCAGACACCCGCUUCUCCAAUUCAGUUUCAGCCCCAGCUGCCCCUGGUCUUUUACUUUGACUCAUGUGAUGCCAGCUCAGCAAGAGACUGAGCUGGAGUUUCAGAGCCAAUAUUGGGCCAAGUUUUGUCCUGGUCACUUGUUGGAUUCCUUUAAUGGACCGGAACCUGGUGGUAUGAAGUCAACAAUAAGAAAGUGAAAGAGAGAGAGAGAAAGAAAGAAAGAAGGAAGGAAGGAAAGACACAGGGACCCAAGCUCGGAUGGAGCAAAGGUAUUGUAUUAGAAGAAAUGCAGGUUUACAUAUCUUUAGUAAGAUGAUUACUCAGCUGUUACACAGGAUAAAAUUUUAUCAAUAGCCACAAUAUGGAUAGUCUAAUACAUUCAAGGUCGCUGACAGUGAAAAGAGUCACUGAAAGGAAUCCAAGCAGAUACCUUUUCUCAUGAUCUCAGUCCUGAGAGCUGAGUGCAGCUCUACUCGUUCUCGGAAUAAGAACUGAUAAGGAACAGAGAAUUUAUGAGAAACAGCAUGUAGGAAUCCUCCUGUUAAACAUUCCCUGACAAUUCCCCUUUAUUUAUUUAUAAUAUUUGUAAAAAGUGUUCUGACCAUUUGAGUUUGUUUAGUUUUAACAACUUUUGCGUGAAGGCAAUGGUAAAUGACAAAUAUAAUUGUCAAGACAAUCACAAAAAUUACAGUUCCAGACCCGAUGCUGUGAAUAAUGCUUUGAAACCAUCUGCUUGGGUCUAGCCCAGAUAAUCGAUCAGCUAGUUGUUCAGCUAAAGUUUUCAAAUUAGUGGAAAAGGGCAGAUUUUUAGAAAAGGUUUCAAAGAUUUUUUUUUUUUUUGGUAAUAAUUGUAUAUUC
rnacentral:lncRNA from 1 species